rnacentral:rRNA from 1 species
CGGAGAAGGCGCCUGAGACCACGGUCCCAGGCCCUACGGGGCGCAGCAGUCGCGAAAACUCCGCAGUACACGAAAGUGUGACGGGGCCAUCCCGAGUGCCAUCCGCUGAGGAUGGCUUUUCCCCAGUGUAUAAAGCUGGGGGAAUAAGGAGAGGGCAAGCCUGGUGUCAGCCGCCGCGGUAAUACCAGCUCUCCGAGUGGUGGGGAUGUUUAUUGGGCCUAAAGCAUUCGUAGCCUGCUUGGCAAGUCCUCCGUUAAAUCCAACGAUUCAAUCGUUGGGCUGCGGGGGAUACUGUCCAGCUAGGGGGCGGGAGAGGCCGACGGUAUCCUCGGGGUAGGGGUGAAAUCCUAUAAUCCCGGGAGGACCACCAGUGGCGAAGGCUGUCGGCUAGAACGCGCUCGACGGUGAGGGAUGAAAGCUGGGGGAGCGAACCGGAUUAGAUACCCGGGUAGUCCCAGCUGUAAACGAUGCAGGCUAGGUGUUGGCGCGGCUACGUGCCGCUCCAGUGCCGCAGGGAAGCCGUUAAGCCUGCCGCCUGGGAAGUACGGCCGCAAGGCUGAAACUUAAAGGAAUUGGCGGGGGAGCACCACAAGGUGUGAAGCUUGUGGUUUAAUUGGAGUCAACGCCGGAAAUCUCACCGGGGGCGACAGCCGAAUGAAAGGUCAGAUUGAAGGUCUUACCAGACAAGCUGAUAGGA